rnacentral:snoRNA from 1 species
AGGAUUUGCUUAGAGCAGGGGGUUGAAAAGUGGCUCCUCUGUUUACAAUAUGCCCAAAAGGAAUCUGGGAUCAUUGUGACAAGGGACACAAAACUUGUGGCCUCCCUACAUGUGAAAAGAAAAAACAA